UGGACCAUUGAUGAAGACUGGUGAUGUAGGAGUCACGGAUGAUGAAAAUAUGUGUCAGAAACUUUGAGGUCCAA